GCGUCACAUUAGUUAGUUGGUGGGGUAAAGGCCUACCAAGACUAUGAUGUGUAGCCGGGCUGAGAGGUUGAACGGCCACAUUGGGACUGAGACACGGCCCAAACUCCUACGGGAGGCAGCAGUAGGGAAUUUUCGGCAAUGGAGGAAACUCUGACCGAGCAACGCCGCGUGAACGAUGAAGUAUUUCGGUACGUAAAGUUCUUUUAUUAGGGAAGAAUAAAUGAUGGAAAAAUCAUUCUGACGGUACCUAAUGAAUAAGCCCCGGCUAACUAUGUGCCAGCAGCCGCGGUAAUACAUAGGGGGCAAGCGUUAUCCGGAAUUAUUGGGCGUAAAGGGUGCGUAGGCGGUUAAAUAAGUUUAUGGUCUAAGUGCAAUGCUCAACAUUGUGAUGCUAUAAAAACUGUUUAGCUAGAGUAAGAUAGAGGCAAGUGGAAUUCCAUGUGUAGUGGUAAAAUGCGUAAAUAUAUGGAGGAACACCAGUAGCGAAGGCGGCUUGCUGGGUCUUUACUGACGCUGAGGCACGAAAGCGUGGGGAGCAAACAGGAUUAGAUACCCUGGUAGUCCACGCCGUAAACGAUGAGUACUAAACGUUGGGUAAAACCAGUGUUGAAGUUAACACAUUAAGUACUCCGCCUGAGUAGUACGUACGCAAGUAUGAAACUUAAAGGAAUUGACGGGACUCCGCACAAGCGGUGGAUCAUGUUGUUUAAUUCGAAGGUACCCGAAAAACCUCACCAGGUCUUGACAUGCUUCUGCAAAGCUGUAGAAACACAGUGGAGGUUAUCAGUUGCACAGGUGGUGCAUGGUUGUCGUCAGCUCGUGUCGUGAGAUGUUGGGUUAAGUCCCGCAACGAGCGCAACCCUUAUUGUUAGUUACCAGCACGUAAUGGUGGGGACUUUAGCAAGACUGCCAGUGAUGAAUUGGAGGAAGGUGGGGACGACGUCAAAUCAUCAUGCCCCUUAUGACCUGGGCUACAAACGUGAUACAAUGGCUGUUACAAAGGGUAGCUGAAGCGCAAGUUUUUGGCGAAUCUCAAAAAAACAG
rnacentral:rRNA from 1 species